AGUGAACGCUGGCGGUAGGCCUAACACAUGCAAGUCGAACGGCAGCACAGUAAGAGCUUGCUCUUACGGGUGGCGAGUGGCGGACGGGUGAGGAAUACAUCGUAAUCUACUUUUUCGUGGGGGAUAACGUAGGGAAACUUACGCUAAUACCGCAUACGACCUACGGGUGAAAGCAGGGGAUCUUCUGACCUUGCGCGAUUGAAUGAGCCGAUGCCGGAUUAGCUAGUGGGCGGGGUAAAGGCCCACCAAGGCGAGGAUCCGUAGCUGGUCUGAGAGGAUGAUCAGCCACAUGGGAACUGGGACGCGGUCCAGAGUCCUACGGGAGGCAGCAGUGGGGAAUAUUAGACAAUGGGCGCAAGCCUGAUCCAGCCAUACCGCGUGGGUGAAGAAGGCCUUCGGGUUGUAAAGACCUUUUGUUGGGAAAGAAAAGCAGCAGGUUAAUACCCCGCUGUUCUGACGGUACCCAAAGAAUAAGCACCGGCUAACUUCGUG
rnacentral:rRNA from 1 species